rnacentral:rRNA from 1 species
UACGGAGGGUGCAAGCGUUAAUCGGAGUUACUGGGCGUAAAGCGUGCGCAGGCGGUUCCAUAAGACAGAUGUGAAAUCCCCGGGCUCAACCUGGGAACUGCAUUUGUGACUGUGGGGCUAGAGGACGGUAGAGGGGGAUGGAAUUCCGCGUGUAGCAGUGAAAUGCGUAGAUAUGCGGAGGAACACCAAUGGCGAAGGCAAUCCCCUGGACCUGUACUGACGCUCAUGCACGAAAGCGUGGGGAGCAAACAGG